GUAGGUGAACCUGCGGAAGGAUCAUUAACAAAUCAUUUGUAGCGGUCGGGGGAGAGGGAGACCUUUCUCUUGACUUGCUCACAUAAACCCAAACCCGUGCAGUAAUGCCGGGUGCGGUGUGUAGGUGCUGGGGUGGGUGAGAUGGCGCGAGUCUGUACCGAUGCGAGUCUUUACUGACGCGAGUCGUCCUAUCCCCCCCCUCCCUACGCGGUGAAGGACGCAAGUCUGGAUCCACAUAGACGCUUGUUUU
rnacentral:misc_RNA from 1 species